GAUCAUGGCUCAGGAUGAACGCUAGCUACAGGCUUAACACAUGCAAGUCGAGGGGCAGCAUGGUCUUAGCUUGCUAAGGCCGAUGGCGACCGGCGCACGGGUGAGUAACACGUAUCCAACCUGCCGUCUACUUUUGGACAGCCUCCUGAAAGGAAGAUUAAUACAAGAUGGCAUCAUGAGUCCGCAUGUUCACAUGAUUAAAGGUAUUACCGGGUAGACGAUGGGG
rnacentral:rRNA from 1 species